rfam:Candidatus Gottesmanbacteria bacterium RIFCSPLOWO2_01_FTLL_48_11 rifcsplowo2_01_scaffold_16357, whole genome shotgun sequence.
CAGAGAACAUAAGCGUGUGGCCCGGCUAUCAUGUUCCUCGCCGAGCUCGUCACACCAGCCGGGCAAGCCCGGUUGAUGCGAGCGAAGCGAGCAUAAUAACCGGGAUACGAGGAAAGGGCUUAUCGGAUAAAUCUGCGGGUGCCCUUUGGUAGUACUCUCUACCACAACGGUAAUCAGAAACUCCACCGGUAACGGUGGGAACAAAUGAUUAUCGGCAGAGUCGC